rnacentral:misc_RNA from 1 species
CCUAGCUCUCUCCUCACCUAUAAAUUCGACGCAUUUGGCAGUUUAGAGCUUCCUCUGCUAUUUGCAACCCGCCGGUGUUCCUCUCCCAGCAACCUCUAUCAUCUUCUAAUCCAAUAAGCCUUUGAGCCAUGGUAUUACAAAUCCUAAUGAAAUUUAUGUUUUCUCUUUGUUAUCUAUAGCUGAUUACAGCUGCUUUAGCAAACAGCUGAGAUUAGAAGUGUGUUAUCUGUUUGGUUUCCAAGAAAAAGAGGAUAGCCACAUUCGAAGAAGAAGACAAGAGAACCAAAGGAAGAGAAUGUCACCCUUGGUCCUGCUGUAAGAGAAGGAGAACAUGUUUUUGGGGUUGCACAUAUCUUUGCUUCUUUUAAUGAUACAUUCAUUGUAAGUAUCCACUUUACUCGAAUAUUUGUUGAGUGUUCAUUAAAUCUCAGUUUAUGGAGGUUAGGUAUCACUGUAAUAGUGAUUAACUGGCACACAAUUGCAGCAUGUCACUGAUUUGUCUGGGAGAGAAACUAUGGUUCGUGUUACAGGUAUGUUUCAUAUAAUGUCAUAAUUUUUUUUAUUAGAUGCUCCUUUUAGGAUCAGAAUAAUGCUUUUAAGAAAAAUAUGUUCAUUGACUGUGUAUUUGCAUGUCCAAACCUGUGCCACAUUUUGUUUUUAUUGUAAAACUAGAAUAGCUGCAAAUUUUCUCCGUUAGAUAUUUGAAUGGCAUUUUAGAGUGGAUAAGGCAUGUUACCAUCUUAUAAGAUUGUAUUUGGAGUAUAUACGCAUCUGGAGUAAUUGGAGCAUAUGCGUGUUUGGAGUAAUUUCUCAGAAAGGAAUUUUAAUGUAAUGGAUACCAGAGAUUGACUAUUUUAUAUUGUGGGAACUUUAUGAGCAUUUAGCAAAGUGGGGAAUCUCUAUUUUGGAUGUGUGCUCAACUUAUUGCAUUGCUGCUUUUAUAAAGGCAUUAAUGCCUUCGUUGCUUUAUUUAAAUGUAUAGUUUAAUGACACAUUCCUUGUAAGUUUUCACUUAAAUAUUUGAUGAUUAUUGAUUGAAUAUUAGCUUUUGGCAGUUAGGUCUAACUGUGUUAGUGAUUUUCUGGUUUACAG